ACAGUGGACGCGAGCAUCUGUGGCCAAGUAUUUAAGGGCGCACGGUGGAUGCCUUGGCACCAGGAACCGAUGAAGGACGUGGGAGGCCGCGAUAGGCCCCGGGGAGCUGUCAACCGAGCUGUGAUCCGGGGGUGUCCGAAUGGGGAAACCCGGCAGUCGUCAUGGGCUGUCACCCAUACCUGAACGCAUAGGGUAUGUGGAGGGAACGCGGGGAAGUGAAACAUCUCAGUACCCGCAGGAAGAGAAAACAACCGUGAUUCCGGGAGUAGUGGCGAGCGAAACUGGAUGAGGCUAAACCGUAUGUGUGUGAUACCCGGCAGGGGUUGCGCAUACGGGGUCGUGGGAGUUCUCUUGAUCGGUCUGCCGGCCGGUCGGCGAGUGAGAAACCGUUGUGGUAGGCGAAGGGCAUGCGAAAGGCCCGGCGUAGAGGGUAAGACCCCCGUAGCUGAAACUGCAACGGCUCGUUUGAGAGCCACCCAAGUAGCAUGGGGCCCGAGAAAUCCUGUGUGAAUCUGGCGGGACCACCCGUUAAGCCUAAAUAUUCCCUGGUGACCGAUAGUGGAUAGUACCGUGAGGGAAUGGUGAAAAGUACCGCGGGAGCGGAGUGAAAUAGUACCUGAAACCGUGUGCCUACAAGCCGUGGGAGCGUCGCCGUGUGUGCUUGCAUGCACGGUCGUGACUGCGUGCCUUUUGAAGAAUGAGCCUGCGAGUUUGCGGUACGUUGCGAGGUUAACCCGUGUGGGGAAGCCGUAGCGAAAGCGAGUCCGAAUAGGGCGUUUGAGUAGCGUGCUCAAGACCCGAAGCGGAGUGAUCUAGCCAUGGGCAGGGUGAAGCGGCUGUAAGAGGUCGUGGAGGCCCGAACCCACCAGGGUUGAAAACCUGGGGGAUGACCUGUGGUUAGGGGUGAAAGGCCAAUCAAACUCCGUGAUAGCUGGUUCUCCCCGAAAUGCAUUUAGGUGCAGCGUCGUGUGUUUCUUGCCGGAGGUAGAGCACUGGAUAGGCGAUGGGCCCUACCGGGUUACUGACCUUAGCCAAACUCCGAAUGCCGGUAAGUGAGAGCGCGGCAGUGAGACUGUGGGGGAUAAGCUCCAUGGUCGAGAGGGAAACAGCCCAGAGCAUCGACUAAGGCCCCUAAGCGUGUGCUAAGUGGGAAAGGAUGUGGAGUCGCAGAGACAACCAGGAGGUUGGCUUAGAAGCAGCCAUCCUUGAAAGAGUGCGUAAUAGCUCACUGGUCAAGUGAUUCCGCGCCGACAAUGUAGCGGGGCUCAAGUACACCGCCGAAGUCGUGUCACUCCAACAU
rnacentral:rRNA from 1 species